rnacentral:rRNA from 1 species
UACGCAGGCUGGCAAUUAAGUCAGUGGUGAAAUCCCACCGCUCAACGGUGGAACUGCCAUUGAUACUGGUUGUCUUGAGUACAGUAGAGGUAUGCGGAAUGUGACAUGUAGCGGUGAAAUGCAUAGAUAUGUCAUAGAACACCGAUUGCGAAGGCAGCAUACUGGACUGUAACUGACGCUGGGGUACGAAAGCGUGGGGAGCGAACAGGAUUAGAUACCCUGGUAGUCC